CAGAGAGAAAUACCAGAGAAAGACUUCACCAAAUGCUUUAUUUCCACAACCACAUUGAUUACAUUUUGCGUCGUAGUUUGUGAUUUAAUAAGAUGACUGUGAAUACAUAAGGAAUUGUAAACAGGAGCUAAAGAGAGUAGGCUAGCAAUGGGAUCACGUGGGGUCCUAAUGGAGACCCGAUUUUGGGGAGGGGGACCCAAUUUGUCACUAUACCGGUUUGUAUUUCCACAGCAUGAAGGUAAGAUCUUACAGAUUUGUGAAUGAACCACUGGUUUUAAAAUCUUCCUGAUCUACUAACAUUUAUGACAUCUGCAUUAAAAACAUUAUAAUGCCCUUGAUAACUUUCGCUAACGUGCUUGUUUCUCUGGCGCAUAAGGUCUAUAAAUGUUACUACAAAUAAAAUAAGUAUAAAUAGCAUGAUAUAAAUGCUUACUUCUAUGUCAUCGAAUGAGUAUGAUGAAACAGUAAGUGAUAUGUAACCAGUCUGAGGUCACCAGGACUGAGGGCCAUUAGGUUUGAAAAGUUGAAAAAUAAAACAAUUACAGUGAAAUGUGAAGUGAGCAGCUUUCUUUUGGUUAGGUAGGUCUCAGGUAGGUCUGUUUUUCAUGAUUAUUGUAAGUUUUAGGUCAAACAAAUAGGUCAACAGACAGUCCCAUCAUGGUGGUUAUACUGUAUGCACACAUUUGCAUAAAGAUCAUUCUUCAUCAGUGGCUGAGAAACAAGUUCAUUGAAUUCAGUAGUCAGAAUUCAGUAGUCUUUAUUCUCAAAUUACUCUCAAAUGAUUAUUUUUUCCGCUAACAAGUUUCUAGAAGAAAGAUAUAAUUAACUAAAUUUAACUAAACAUCAGUGGAAACACUAAAAUGACACAUUUCUAAGAUUAAAACAAAUCUUAAAACAACCAUACAUUUGCAGAAUAACAAGAGCAUGUUAUGAGACUGGGAAAUGACUGUUUUUGGCUUGUUUUGAGAGCGAGGCUUGUUUUUGUCGUCCUCUGUUGACUUUGCCAGUUUAGCAAACAGGAGACGAUUAAAAUAAAUGAGCCUAGAUUGAUCCUGAUACUCAGCGAGGGGAAGACUGAUGGGGAAAGGCACGCACAAGGGAUGAUUACGACUGUCCUUGCCCGAUGACAAAUGGCACUGUAUUGUGCUGGAAAGCCACCGUUUUUUAUCCCUUGGCAUCAAAACACUUUUCGAAUAUCAUCAUAAGCAUCAUCGUCAUCAUCAGUGUCAUUCUAUUGCCAGCGUUUUCCAUUGUAGAUGACGUGAUAUUGCCAAUGAAUUAAAUGAAUGCUUCAUAUUAGCCAAGGUGACUAUGAUUGUGCGGCAGCACAUUUCUGUCAGUAAUUCUUUUUUCUUCUUCUUUUUUUCUGAAAUUUGAAAUGGGCUGUAUUUUAUUAGCAUUAUUCUGCAUCUAAUAUGAAUGGUGCAAUUCACACCUUGUUGUAUAUUGCAGAAUGUAUUAUUGGUUGCAUUUACAGUAUUUUUUAAAAGAAAUUAAUACUUUUAAGAUGCAUUAAACUGAUCAAAAGUGACAGUAAAGCCAUUUAUAAUGUUACAAAAAUAUAUAUU